AGAGUUUGAUCCUGGCUCAGGAUGAACGCUGGCGGCGUGCUUAACACAUGCAAGUCGAACAAGCACUUUAACGGAUUUCUUCGGAAUGAAGUUCUUGUGACUGAGUGGCGGACGGGUGAGAACGCGUGGGUAACCUGCCUCAUACAGGGGGAUAACAGUUAGAAAUGACUGCUAAUACCGAUAAGACCACAGUACCGCAUGGUACAGGGGUAAAAGCCGAGACGGUAUGAGAUGGACCCGGUCUGAUUAGGUAGUUGGUGAGGUAACGGCUCACCAAGCCGACGAUCAGUAGCCGACCUGGAGGGUGACCGGCCACAUUGGGACUGAGACACGGCCCAAACUCCUACGGGAGGCAGCAGUGGGAAUAUUGCACAAUGGGCGAAAGCCUGAUGCAGCGACGCCGCGUGAGUGAGGAAGUAUUCGGUAUGUAAAGCUCUAUCAGCAGGGAAGAAAAUGACGGUACCUGACUAAGAAGCCCCGCUAACUACGUGCCAGCAGCCGCGGUAAUACGUAGGGGGCAAGCGUUAUCCGGAUUUACUGGUGUAAAGGGAGCGUAGACGGUUGUGUAAGUCUGAUGUGAAAGCCCGGGGCUCAACCCCGGACUGCAUUGGAAACUAUAUAACUAGAGUGUCGGAGAGGUAAGUGGAAUUCCUAGUGUA
rnacentral:rRNA from 2 species